rnacentral:lncRNA from 1 species
AUAAAGGAAUACCCAAGGCUGGAUAAUUUAUAAAGAAUAGAGGUUUAUUUGGCUCGCAGUUCUGCAAGCUACACAAGAAGCAUGGCACUAGCACCAAUGCAUUUUCUGAGGGCCUCAGGCUGCUUCCUCUCACGGCAGAAAGUGAAGGGGAGCCAGCACGUGCAGAGAUCACAGGGCAAAAGAGGAAGCAAGAGAAAGAAGGGGAAGGGGCCAGACUCAUUUUAACAACCAGAUAUUGUGGGAAUUAAGACUGAGAAUUCACUCACUCCUCACCUCCAAGGAAUAGCAUUAAUCUAUUCACGAGGGAUCUACCUCCAUGGCCCAAAUACUUCCCAUGAGGCCUCUCCUCCAACACUGGGGAUCAAAUUUCAACAUGAGGUCUGGAGGGCUCAUAUAUCCAAACCACACAGCACAGUAAUAUCAAAUGAGUGAAUGUGAAGGCUUAGGAAAGGCCCAGGCUAAUGUGUGUGAUCAUGUCUUCGUUGUUUUUUUUGUUUGUUUGUUUUUUAAUAUAGGGUUUUUCUGUCGCCUAGGCUGUAGUGCAGUGGUGCCAUCACGACUCACUGCACCCUCAAUCUUCCAGGCUCAAUCGACUCUCCCACCUCAGCCUCCUAAGUAGAUGGGACUACAGGUGCACACCACCAUGCCCAACUGAUUUUUCUAUUUUUUGCAGAGAAGGAGUCUUGCCAUAUUACCCAGGCUGGUCUUGAACUUCCGGGCUCAAGUGAUGUGCUCGCCUUGGCCUCCCAAAGUGCUGGAAUUACAGGCAUGAGCCACUGCGCCCAGCCCCCAUGUCUUCCUUUUUUAGAAAAGAGUUAAAAGUUACCUGGUUGAAAAUGGCUGACGACAGAUACCAGACAGCCACCCUCUCCAGAAAGAAGAGCCAAAAUUAGGAAUAAAAAUACCUCAAAUAGAAGAGAACACUAGAGUCCAAGGGUGAAUUCACAGCAAACACCAGAGGCAUAGAAAGAGAAGAAAGGAAGCAGCCAGCUUAACCAAGAUCAACCAAGAGCCCCGAGGGACUCCCUAUUACAGGAAAACGGUCCUGAAUUCCAGCAGAAUGGCUGAAGCCAACCAGUCUCAAGACCUCAACCAAGGAACCAACCAACUCUGCACAGGAAUGCGGUUUCUUCAUCUCCCUGUCCCAGGAAUUCCCCCUUGCUUCUUGACCAAUCAGCAAUCCCCACAUUUUAGCCCUACCUGUUCAGACCCUUUACAAGCUCCAUCCCCAAACCCUGGAGGGAGGAGGAUUUGAAGGUUCCUCUGUCUCAUUUGACUGCCCUACAAUUAUUAAACUCUUUCUCUACUGCAAAAAAAAAAAAAAAAA